rnacentral:rRNA from 1 species
CCUACGGGAGGCAGCAGUGGGGAAUAUUGCACAAUGGGGGAAACCCUGAUGCAGCGACGCCGCGUGAGUGAAGAAGUAUCUAGGUAUGUAAAGCUCUAUCUGCCGGGGAGCAGAAAGACGGUACCUGACUAAGAAGCCCCGGCUAACUACGUGCCACCAGCCGCGGUAAUACGUAGGGGUCAAGCGUUAUCCGGAUUUAAUGGGGGUAAAGGGAGGGUAGACGGCUGUGUAAGUCUGAAGGUAAAGCCUAGGGGUCAAACCUCGUACUGCUUUGGAAACUGUGGAGCUAGAGUGCUCGAGAGGUAAGCGGAAUUCGUGGUGUAGCGGUGAAAUGCGUAGAUAUUAGGCGGAACACCAGUUGCGAAGGCGGCUUACUGGACAGUAACUGACGUUGAGGCUCGAAAGCGUGGGGAGCGAACAGGAUUAGAUACCCGGGUAGUC